AUCUCCUGGGCGCGUUCUCCUCCCAUUAGCGCCCUCGAGUGUUCCCCUCUGGAGGUUUAGCCCUAACGGGCACUUCCAUUCAACUUAGCCGGGUCUUCGCGAUCCGGCUUUUUU
rnacentral:sRNA from 2 species